UUAAGAGCAGAGACGUGGCUGCAUUAACGCUUUUUUUCGCUGCCGGGUACUGCGGUUGCACGUUGCAUGGCGGCAGGUGAGUGUCACAACCCCCAUUAAUAGCACCACCGAUGAACACUCAUUUCUUCUAAUCAUCGCUGACAAGCAACUGCUGUUGGCUCCAUUUUACAGAUGGGGAAAUUGAGGCAGAGAGCAACAGAGGAGCCUCCUCAAGUCCUGGUGUCCCUGGGGCAACAGCCAAGCAGAAAACCCAGCACACCCUGUCUCCCAGCUGCUCCUUCCAACCACUGAAACGCACUCUCUUUGCUUUAAUAAAAAAAAGCCGGUAUUUCUUAAAUACUGAUAAAACUAUAAA